AGACUCUUCACGGUGGAACAAGAU
rnacentral:siRNA from 1 species